GAUGAACGCUGGCGGCGUGCCUAAUACAUGCAAGUCGAGCGAACGGACGAGAAGCUUGCUUUUCUGAUGUUAGCGGCGGACGGGUGAGUAACACGUGGAUAACCUACCUAUAAGACUGGGAUAACUUCGGGAAACCGGAGCUAAUACCGGAUAAUAUUUUGAACCGCAUGGUUCAAAAGUGAAAGACGGUCUUGCUGUCACUUAUAGAUGGAUCCGCGCUGCAUUAGCUAGUUGGUAAGGUAACGGCUUACCAAGGCAACGAUGCAUAGCCGACCUGAGAGGGUGAUCGGCCACACUGGAACUGAGACACGGUCCAGACCCCUACGGGAGGCAGCAGUAGGGAAUCUUCCGCAAUGGGCGAAAGCCUGACGGAGCAACGCCGCGUGAGUGAUGAAGGUCUUCGGAUCGUAAAACUCUGUUAUUAGGGAAGAACAUACGUGUAAGUAACUGUGCACAUCUUGACGGUACCUAAUCAGAAAGCCACGGCUAACUACGUG
rnacentral:rRNA from 1 species